rnacentral:rRNA from 1 species
CAGAGCCACGAGUGGGAGCCGCUAUUAUUGGGCCUAAAGCGUCCGUAGCCGGUCAUGUGAAUCCUUUGUGAAAUUGUUGGGCUUAACUCAGCAACGUGCAGGGGACACUGCAUGACUAGGGACCGGGAGGAGUCAGAGGUAUUCCUUGGGGAGCGGUAAAAUGCUAUAAUCCUAGGAGGACCAUCGAUGGCGAAGGCAUCUGACUAGAACGGAUCCGACGGUGAGGGACGAAAGCCAGGGGAGCGAACCGGAUUAGAUACCCGAGUAGUCC